GCUGAUGAGGGUGAAGAAGUAGCUCUUUAGAUGAACCUUGAGGGCCCAGCGUGGUUCUGCUCUCUCCUCUGUCUGGACUCAACUUGGCUGCUGGCCAAGAGACGUCAAGGCCAGGAGGAGAAGGAUUUUCCUGGAGGAGUGUAUCGGCAAGAUGGAGAAGGGUGUCAUGUGGGAUCAGCCCUGCAGGUGGAAGACAAGGCAAGGAAACAAGGCUCAGAAAGGGGUGUAUCCAGAGUAAGGUUCCAUACCACCACCCAUGCCCCAGACUCAACAUGGGACCCCGAGGAACCCCAGUUCUGCUGUCAACCAACAUCUCAC